AACGCCUUAUUACGUGUUUGCUUGGUAUUCAAAUUUGUUGCCAAACACCAGCUAACGUCGAGUUCAUAUCUCGUCGAAAAUGCCAUCUUUGUAAGAGCUAAUUAUAGUAAUAUGGAGUUAUAAUUAAUUGUUAAAACUGUUUCGUAUAUCGUAUUACGGUUGUUAAUUGUUAAAUGCGGAUUAACGUUGAAACAACGUUGCGUGUUCUGCACGCUGCUUACACGAGCAGCUCACGGAACCUUCGCAACUGGCUCUUAAUCAACCAAGUUUGUUCUGCAAUUGAAAGUUGCUUUCAAUUUCUACUCGCCAAACGUAAUUCGAGCGAAGAUGUGAAAUUCGAACCGUAACGCGAAGCUAACAACGACGGAAACACGAAAUCGAGGAGAAAAAUAGCGGAUAAACGCAC
rnacentral:misc_RNA from 1 species